AAUUGGAGGGCAAGUCUGGUGCCAGCAGCCGCGGUAAUUCCAGCUCCAAUAGCGUAUAUUAAAGUUGUUGCAGUUAAAAAGCUCGUAGUUGAAUUUCGGGAUCAGCAGGUUGGUCGUGCCUACGGUAUGAACUGGCCUUGCUGAUUCCUCCCUCUUGAUGAGCCGUAAUGCCAUUAAUUUGGUGUUGCGGGGAAUCAGGACUGUUACUUUGAAAAAAUUAGAGUGUUUAAAGCAGGCAUGCGCUUGAAUACAUUAGCAUGGAAUAAUGAAAUAGGACGUUCGAUCCUAUUUUGUUGGUUUCUAGGAUUGACGUAAUGAUUAAUAGGGAUAGUUGGGGGCAUUAGUAUUCAAUUGUCAGAGGUGAAAUUCUUGGAUUUAUUGAAGACUAACUACUGCGAAAGCAUUUGCCAAGGAUGUUUUCAUUAAUCAAGAACGAAAGUUAGGGGAUCGAAGACGAUCAGAUACCGUCGUAGUCUUAACCAUAAACUAUGCCGACUAGGGAUCGGAUGAUGUUAAUUUUUUAAUGACUCAUUCGGCGCCUUACGGGAAACCAAAGUGU
rnacentral:rRNA from 1 species